UCAAAUCUGUUUUGUUUUGCUGUUGUUUUGUGUUAGGGGGGAAUCGCGUAUUGGCAUCUGCCAGUGCUAGGUUUACCAUAGGUGGUAAAAACUAGUUUUACAGCAAGGCUGAAUAGCAUAAAUAACGUAACACAAAGAGAGUAUAGGCUACUCACAGCAUAUCAUUCUAUGUUAUAAAUUUUCUGGCUGACAAUUACAUUUUUUGAGCGCAGUGGGCAAAUAGAAAAUAACCCUUCGUCUAGGCUAUAUGUUUUGGGACAUGCAUUUACAACAGUCAAAUCUGACCUCCAAAAAAGUGUGAAAUAGUUAAGACUGUUUUACACUUGAGAACAACUAACGAAAUAGGGCAUUGAUUGAAGAUGCAGAUUGACUUGUUACACCUUAGACUUCGCGUAGGAAGGGGAGGGGCGCACAGCAAGUUCACUGUGACUGCAACAGUGCAGUGUACUCCAUCCACUUACUUACCAAUUGCCAAGAUUCAAGCCGUUAUUACUAUGUAAAUACAACUGCACUGACGGCUGUAUAGCCUACGACUUCACAUCGGCAGUUGGCAAUUUCACUCAAAGUGCUCCGUUGCCUGUUUUCAACCAGAUAACCACAGUAAAUUACCAAUGUUGUUAUUUUUUUAUAGCCUAUAUGGCAAGCUAUACACGAAAAGAAAAAGUUAACUUAUAGCCUGCUAAAUAAGCAAAUGGUAACUUGAGUUGUAUUUAGAUUUGUUGAGCAGUUUACGUAGUUUGACGAGCUAGAGAGCCUACGCGCCUUACCACCCGCACAGAGGAGGUUUAGAGAUUUUUCACUACCGCUGCUCCACGUUCUGUCCAAAUUCUUGGGCUCACUUCGGCGUCCUAGUGAACGGAUUAACUUGGAACACCAGACGGACAGAUUCUUACUUAUUGGACCUUGAUCGCUUGACGUGGACAGGAACAGUGUGGCUGGAGGACACUGAUGAUGGGAGCCACCAUUUUGUAAAAACUGGGGUGAGGGAGGUGACACUGCACCCCAGGACAUAACAGGAAGGACCCCAGAGGAUUUUUUUUAAAGAAUUAAAAACACAAACCUGA